GUGUGCCAUCGUAACCGAUAGGAGUAGCGCUAGUCACUGUUCUGCUAGGAGGAGCGCCGUCACCAUUGGCAGCAGCCAUCCUCACAUUCGAUUGCAGGUCAAGGGGUUUCUAUGGUGAAUGAUAUAAAGACUAUUGAGGGGGCUAGAAGUCAUACAGAUAAGACAUCAGAUUUCAGUGUGUGUAUGCAAUCGAAGAAUUCCCCAUCCUUCACAUCAGAUUUUGCAUUGCUUGAUCUGUAGGGGAAUAAAAGAAAGACAAGGUAACUAUUUCGAAUGUAUUUCCAUUCAACUUUUUGUGCUACCUGAAUGUUCUCUAAUGUGAUCUGAUGGUGGGAAUGCAUGCACUGGUCCGUUUGGUGCUUAGCUUGCGCACACUUGUUCCAUAAACGAUUUUGGUAUUCUGCAUUUAUUUUCUUGCUUACUUCCAUUUUUGAGCAGCUCAUACAUAGGACAAGAAGUACAUGAUAUUAAGAUGUGAGAUUAAUAUUGAUGGAAUAACAUCCAAUCAUGCGAUAAAUGCCUUUCGGUCAUCUUGCUGAAGAUAUGCUACGAAAGUAGGCUGCUAUUAUGGUUAUAGAAUCUUAUGCAUAUUAGAUUCUUUUGUUUAUACCUACACAGUUGGCUUUUAUGGUUUUUUGAACUAUGGACACUGAUUGAUUUAGCUAAUAAGAU